AGUGAACGCUGGCGGUAGGCCUAACACAUGCAAGUCGAACGGCAGCACAGUAAGAGCUUGCUCUUACGGGUGGCGAGUGGCGGACGGGUGAGGAAUACAUCGGACUCUACUUUUUCGUGGGGGAUAACGUAGGGAAACUUACGCUAAUACCGCAUACGACCUACGGGUGAAAGCAGGGGAUCUUCUGACCUUGCGCGAUUGAAUGCGCGGAUGUCGGAUUAGCUAGUUGGCGGGGUAAAGGCCCACCAAGGCGACGAUCCGUAGCUGGUCUGAGAGGAUGAUCAGCCACACUGGAACUGAGACACGGUCCAGACUCCUACGGGAGGCAGCAGUGGGGAAUAUUGGACAAUGGGCGCAAGCCUGAUCCAGCCAUACCGCGUGGGUGAAGAAGGCCUUCGGGUUGUAAAGCCCUUUUGUUGGGAAAGAAAAGCAGCAGGUUAAUACCCCGCUGUUCUGACGGUACCCAAAGAAUAAGCACCGGCUAACUUCGUG
rnacentral:rRNA from 1 species